UAUGGUACUUGUGGGAAAGCAGCCGCGGUAAUACGUAUGGUGCAAGCGUUAUCCGGAUUUACUGGGUGUAAAGGGAGCGUAGACGGCUGUGUAAGUCUGAAGUGAAAGCCCGGGGCUCAACCCCGGGACUGCUUUGGAAACUAUGCAGCUAGAGUGUCGGAGAGGUAAGUGGAAUUCCCAGUGUAGCGGUGAAAUGCGUAGAUAUUGGGAGGAACACCAGUGGCGAAGGCGGCUUACUGGACGAUGACUGACGUUGAGGCUCGAAAGCGUGGGGAGCAAACAGG
rnacentral:rRNA from 1 species